CCUACGGGGGGCAGCAGUGAGGAAUAUUGGUCAAUGGCCGGAAGGCUGAACCAGCCAUGCCGCGUGAAGGUCAGGGACCUAUGGGCGUUAAACUUCUUGUGUGCGGGAGCAAGAAUGGUCACGUGUGGCCAGACGAGAGUACCGUACGAAUAAGCAUCGGCUAACUCCGGGCCAGCAGCCGCGGUAAUACGGGGGAUGCAAGCGUUAGCCGGAUUUAGUGGGGUUAAAGGGUGCGUAGGAUGUGAGGUAAGUCAGCGGUGAAAUGCCCCCGCUCAACGGGGUGAAGUGCCAUUGAUACUGCCUUGCUGUAUUGCGGAUGCCGUGGGAGGAAUGUGUGGUGUAGCCGU
rnacentral:rRNA from 1 species